rnacentral:rRNA from 1 species
CAGUCGCCGCGGUAAUACGAAGGGUGCAAGCGUUACUCGGAAUUACUGGGCGUAAAGCGUGCGUAGGUGGUGGUUUAAGUCCGUUGUGAAAGCCCUGGGCUCAACCUGGGAAUUGCAGUGGAUACUGGAUCACUAGAGUGUGGUAGAGGAUAGUGGAAUUUCCGGUGUAGCAGUGAAAUGCGUAGAGAUCGGAAGGAACAUCUGUGGCGAAGGCGACUAUCUGGGCCAACACUGACACUGAGGCACGAAAGCGUGGGGAGCAAACAGGAUUAGAUACCCCCGUAGUCCCUGUCUCUUAUAC